rnacentral:lncRNA from 10 species
GUGAAUCCCAUCUUUCACCACUGGAGCCUGGGUGACUGCAAGUUUGGACUGACGUUUCAGAGCCCUGCAGAGGCUGAUGAGUUCCAGAAGAGCCUGCUGGCUGCGCUGGCCGCACUGGGUCGAGGCUCACUCACCCCCUCCUCCUCCUCCUCCUCCUCCUCUCCUUCCCAGGAUACUGCAGAGACCCCCUGCCCUCUGACGGUGAGUGUCCAGGAUGCCUCUCUGCUGGGGGAGGGUAGGGGUUUUGUUUUUAUUCUAUGAACAUUCUUGAGCACCUACUGUGUAGCAGGCACCAUGCCACACACCGGGUACACAAAAUUGGGCCGGAACUAUGAGUGUCAAUUCAAUCCCAGUUAUUCUAGUCUUUCUGCCCUGUCAUGAUUCACACGUUCAUUCAAGGGUCCUUAUUGUGUACCUUCUGUAUACCAGGCAGUGCUUUAGGCACUGGGUUACAUCAGUGAACAAAAAGUUCCUUUCCUCCUGGAGCUUCUAUUCUAGUGUGGAAAGGCAGAAAAUUAAAAAAAAUAUAUAUAUAAACAAUAAAAAUGAAUAAAUAUUGA